GCCUCUGUAGCUCAGUUGGUUAGAGCGCUGCACCGGAAUCGCAGGGCCGUAGGUUCAAAUCCUACCAGAGAAC
rnacentral:tRNA from 1 species